ensembl:lncRNA
UCCUCCUCUGCAUGAAAAUGGCUACAUGGACUGUGGUCUGUGCCAGGAAUUCUCCAGUGGGAACAGAAGAUCAAGCCCCUGCUACUGCAGCAUUGCUCAUAGAGCUGCCUGCAUCAGAAUUUCUCCCUUUGAUUGACAUUUCCCCCCAAAAUGUUAUAGGGAAGAACAAUUUUCCUUAGGAUCAACAUUUUCCUGCGUUGGGAUCAUGUGUUCCAGUUGGCAGUGUAUAUGUCCAUAUCUCAGAGAAGCCAGAUCCUCUUUUGAACUGUCCUGUUUAGUUUAAUUUGAGUUGCUUCUGAGUUUUUGAGCUCUCGACCCCAUAACCCACAGGCUGCUGGUGCUCUGUUUGUACAGGGGAGCAGAUGACAGAGGAUGAGCUGGCUGAGUGUCUGAUCACCCUGCUGGGCAAGAGACCCAGGAAAGAAGGAUCUGAGCUGGACACCCACCCUCCCACAGGUGCAGCAGCUUUGACUGAAGAAGACAUUCCAGCAGAAAUCACAGCAGAGAUAUUUGUUGCAGACAUUCUUGGCUUACCUAUUGCUGAACCAGAAAAAAAAGAACAGAAGGAAAAAGAAGAAUCUUUGGUCUACAAAGGCCCAGAACCAUAACUACCACUAGAUUUUCUGUUUGUUCCUACUCUCCAGGAUCCUCUCCUCAAAUAUCUGCAAAAUUUAUGGCUUGUGUUUAUUGCAAAGUAAAGGUCACAUAGUUGCAUUUCAGUCAAACUCUAGAAUAAAGUCCCCAGUUUGGCAUAUGCCACAAACCUGUAAUUUCACACCUAUAUAGGGAAACACUGAAUGGCUGGAAAGAAUGAGGCAGGUGGCCACUCCAUCCUUGGCUGGAACCUUCCCAGAAGUCAUUUCAGGUGGGUUUAUGCCAGAUGCAGUCUAUUUUCAUUACGUUAGGACAGUAUUCAUUUGUGAAACAUGACAGCAAAAGAGCAACGUAGGAGUAUUGUAUUGAUUAAAUACAUUGAUAAAUGCUUUGACAGGUUAGAAUGGAUUUGUAAUUAUAAAUCCAAUGGACCUCGGUAAAGAAAUAAAUGCUGUGGUAUACAUUGAAACCACGCUUCUCUUUUGGCCUUUAAACUGACUUUUUCUUUCUGAAAGUAGUAAUUCCAAUUAGCAGUGUAAUACCAAUGGGACGGCAUCGCUCUCUGUGUGUGUAAACAGCAUAAUGAGACUGAUACAAGUUGCUGUAGAAAGAUCAGUGAAGUGCUGUUGAACAGCUUCCUUCUUUACAUCAUCCUCGGCAUCAAUUUGAAUAAUAAUGUAGGCCCUUAAGAAGCGUUCCUUUCAGAAGCAAUGUUUUUUAAACAGAGAUCGCUGUUGUAUACUCAGAGCAUCUGUGAUUGUACAAUUAGCACGAACAGCAAGGUGUGCAUUAGGGAGAAGUUAAUGAAGGAGUCCAGCAGUACCACACCAGAGCUCACAGUCUGUGACAAAUUUCCUGCAGAGCAUCACCUCCCAUGGAACUCAUUUAGCCCUUAUGUUCAUGUACUUCCAUGGAUCUCUGUCCGAGCUGAGCC